rnacentral:rRNA from 1 species
UCUGGUUGAUUCUGCCAGUAGUCAUAUGCUUGUCUCAAGAUAAGUCCAUGCAUGUCAAGUAUAAGCACUUUAUACUGUGAAACUGCGAAUGGCUCAUAAAUCAGUUAUCGUUUAUUUGAUAGUAACCUACUACAUGGAUACCUGGGUAUUCUAGAGCUAAUACAUGCUAAAAACCUCGACUUCGGAAGGGGUGUAUUUAUUAGAUAAAAAACCAAUGCCUUCGGGGCUCCUUGGUGAUUCAUAAUAACUUAACGAAUCGCAUGGCCUUGCGCCGGCGAUGGUUCAUUCAAUUUCUGCCCUACAACUUUCGAUGGUAGGAUAGUGGCCUACCAUGGUGGCAACGGGUUAACGGGGAAUUAGGGUUCGAUUCCGGAGAGGGAGCCUGAGAAACGGCUACCACAUCCAAGGAGGCAGCAGGCGCGCAAAUUACCCAAUCCCGACACCGGGGAGGUAGUGACAUAAAUACUGAUACGGGGCUCUUUUGGGUCUCGUAAUUGGAAUGAGUACAAUCUAAAUCCCUUAACGAGGAAACAAUUGGAGGGCAAGUCUGGUGCCAGCAGCCGCGGUAAUUCCAGCUCCAUAGCGUAUAUUAAAGUUGUUGCAGUUAAAAAAGCUCGUAGUUGAACCUUGGGUCUGGCUGGCCGGUCCGCCUCACCGCGAGUACUGGUCCGGCUGGACCUUUCCUUCUGGGAACCUCAUGGCCUUCACUGGCUGUGGGGGAACCAGGACUUUUACUGUGAAAAAAUUAGAGUGUUCAAAGCAGGCCUUGCUCGAAUACAUUAGCAUGGAUAAUAGAAUAGGACGUCGGUUCUUUUUGUUGGUUUCGGACGCCGUCAUGAUUAAUAGGAUAUGUCGGGGGCGUCAGUAUUCAGCCUGUCAGAGUGAAAAUUCUUGGAUUUGCUGAAGACUAACUACUGCGAAAGCAUUCGCAAGUAUGUUUUCAUUAAUCAGGGAACGAAAGUUAGGUGAUCGAAGACCGAUCAGAUACCGUCGUAGUCUAAAACAUAAACUAUGGCGACUAGGGAUCGGCGGUGUUUCUAUUAUGACCCGCAUCGGCAUCCUUACGAGAACUCAAAGUUUUUGGGUUCUGGGGUGAGUAUGGUCGCAAGGCUGAAACUUAAGAAAAUGACGGGAAUGGCACCACAAGGGCGUGGAGCCUGCGCCUUAAUUUGACUCCAACACGGGAAAACUCACCAUGUCCAGACAAAUACGGAUUGACAGAUUGAGAGCUCUUUCUUGAUCUUUUGGAUGGUGUGCAUGGCCGUUCUUAGUUGGUGGAGUGAUUGUCUGCUUAAUUGCGAUAACGAACGAGACCUCGGCCCUUAAAUAGCCCGGUCCGCGUUUGCGGGCCGCUGGCUUCUAGGGGGACUAUCGGCUCAAGCCGAUGGAAGUGCGCGGCAAUAACAGGUCUGUGAUGCCCUUAGAUGUCUGGGCCGCACGCGCGCUACACUGACAGGGCCAGCGAGUACAUCACCUUGGCCGAGAGGUCCGGGUAAUCUUGUUAAACCCUGUCGUGCUGGGGAUAGGACAUUCAAUUAUUGCUCUUCAACGAGGAAUGCCUAGUAGGCACGAGUCAUCAGCUCGUGCCGAUUACGUCCCUGCCCUUUGUACACACCGCCCGUCGCUACUACCGAUUGAAUGGCUCGGUGAGGCCUUCGGACUGGCCCAGGAGGGUUGGCAACGACCCCCAGGGCCGAAAGUUGGUCAAACCCGGUCAUUUAGAGGAAGUAAAAGUCGUAACAAGGUUUCCGUAGGUGAACCUGCGGAAG